CAAGCGGUGGAGCAUGUGGUUCAAUUCGACGCAACGCGAAGAACCUUACCUGGGCUCGAAGCGCAGUGGAUCGGGGUGGAAACAUCCCUUCCCCUUAAAAGGCUGCUGCGGAGGUGCUGCAUGGCUGUCGUCAGCUCGUGUCGUGAGAUGUUGGGUUAAGUCCCGCAACGAGCGCAACCCUUAUCCCUAGUUGCCAUCGGGUCAAGCCGGGCACUCUAGUGAAACUGCCUCGGAUAACGAGGAGGAAGGUGGGGAUGACGUCAAGUCCUCAUGGCCUUUAUGUCCAGGGCUACACACGUGCUACAAUGGCCGGUACAAACCGUCGCAAACCCGCGAGGGGGAGCUAAUCGGAAAAAGCCGGCCUCAGUUCGGAUUGGAGUCUGCAACUCGACUCCAUGAAGCUGGAAUCGCUAGUAAUCGCGGAUCAGAACGCCGCGGUGAAUACGUUCCCGGGCCUUGUACACACC
rnacentral:rRNA from 1 species